UGUGAGUAGUAGAGUUUGAUCAUGGCUCAGAACGAACGCUGGCGGCGUGGAUAAGACAUGCAAGUCGAACGGGAUAUUGUUUGUAGCAAUACAAGCGAUGUCUAGUGGCGUAAGGGUGCGUAACACGUGGGGAAUCUGCCGAGAAGUGGGGGAUAGCUCGCCGAAAGGCGAAUUAAUACCGCAUGUGGUUAGGGAAGACAUCUUUCCGACACCAAAGCCGGGGCAACCUGGCGCUUCUUGAUGACCCCGCGGCCUAUCAGCUAGUUGGUGAGGUAACGGCUCACCAAGGCUAUGACGGGUAGCUGGUCUGAGAGGACGACCAGCCACACUGGAACUGAGACACGGUCCAGACACCUACGGGUGGCAGCAGUCGAGAAUUUUUCUCAAUGGGGGAAACCCUGAAGGAGCGACGCCGCGUGGAGGAUGAAGGUCCUCGGAUUGUAAACUCCUGUCAUUUGGGAACAAGUUGCAUCGGUUAACUGCCGAUGCAUUGAUAGUACCAGAAGAGGAAGAGACGGCUAACCCUGUGCCAGCAGCCGCGGUAAU
rnacentral:rRNA from 1 species